AUUUCCACAGAUUGAGAAGCCAUUGCCCAAGCCUAAUCCUGAGUUCAACCCCUUGGCGGCCAAAGCAGCAACCAUUAGCCUAUCGGCAUUUGGAGGCUUCUUCAGCUUUGGUGACUUCUCAAACAAGCGCAAUAAGAAAAAUUUCAACAAAAAGAACCCCAACAACCUCCCCCAGGUAAUUUGUCUUUCUCUUUGACAUGAUUUUGUUUCCCCAAUUAAAAUGCUUCCUAAUCUUUUAUGUCUCAAUGUUCCAGUAUUGUCUAAUGUGGUCCAUCUUUUUCAUCAACAAUGGAAAUAAUUUAUUAGCAGCAGUAGACACACAGUUACAUGAUUCUCUGAACUGUCCUUUAUAGCAUAAACACUAAAAUGGGCAUGGAAUAAACUCUUUACCCUGUUCUUUUGUAACGGAGCAUUCUGUUCGAUUGUCUGAUUUUGCUUUCCCUGGAAUUUCAGAAUAAAGGCCAGUCUAACAAUCAUGAAGCAGUGAGCAACGAGUGGCUGGAAAAUGGCCAAUGUCCACUUGCAAAGUCAUAUAGAGCAUUAAGUGGCAUUGUACCUCUUGUGGCAAAGAUGAUGACGCCCCCAGCUGGUAUGAAACUGAAGUGCCCGCCUGCGGUGGUUGCUGCCCGAGCAGCAAUAUCCCGCACAGCCUUUGCAAAGGGGCUUCGCCCUCAGCCCCUGCCAACAAAAGUACUGGUGAUCGCACUGCUUGGUAUGGCAGCAAAUGUUCCUCUCGGCAUCUGGAGAGAGCACACGCAGAAGUUUUCAGUGCAGUGGUUUGCUGCGGUACAUGCCGCCGUGCCUUUCAUAGGGAUGCUCAGGAAAUCUGUGCUGAUGCCAAAGUCUGCCAUGGCCCUUACUAUAGCUGCCUCAAUAUUGGGUCAGACAAUCGGGUCAAGAGCUGAACGUAUCAGAUUGAAGAGGGUGGCUGCGGCAAAAUCAGCAGGAGAGGGCGAUGAUACUGCUGACUGCGUCAAAGCACCGAUGAGUCUCAAGACCGGAAACCGCAGUGUCGUUCAGUUCUGGGAUCCGCUUGCCCUCAGAGUAGAGAGCACCGUGAGCGCAGGUUCCCCAUCAGUUCUUGUCCCUGCCGUUGCUGCCUUCAAUUGAUGGACUGGGUUGGCUUCAUUUCGAUCAUAUCAGCAUUGCUGAUUGUUGUAUCCUUUUUCGAUGAUUGUAUUCAUUACUGUAUCAUG
rnacentral:lncRNA from 1 species